rnacentral:lncRNA from 1 species
CGACUCGUCAAAUUAUUUGUCACUCUAAAAUACACUCAAAAUAGAAAUAGAUUAAGACACUAAUGAAGAGCUACUCAUUUUUCGAAUAAAAUUAUUGGUGACCAGUGGAGUUUCAAUGACGAUAACCAUUUGUAUUUCUCUUACAAUUUUUGAUAUUUUCUCAUUUUUUUGGUAUUCCCUCAUUAUUUUUGAUACACCCUUAUUGUAAUACCAAUUAUUUGCCCGAGCCCGCAUGCAGAACCAAAACAAAAAAACAAAAUAAGC